UUUUCCCAGAAAAAUAAUACCACUUUGCCCCGUUUAUUGCAUUUAGAUGUGUAAUCAUAUUAGACUAAGCAGCCCGGGGGACCAAAGUUACGUAGUUAGAGUUUUCACCAAAGCCUGUUACCCUGUCUUCAGAGGAAAACAGUGUCCUCAGUAAAAAAAGAAAACAAGGACCAUUUUUGAGGAAUUUCUCCCUUGCCAUUUAAAGGACAUAUGCUUCCAUCAGGGUGAGAAGCACGACCCAGGGAGAAAAACCAGAAAGUGAAACUAACUUGACUGGCCAGUGUCAGUGCAGCUCUGCCUCGGCCCAGGCAAUGCUCGCCCAGCCUAGUCCCGGCCUCAUCGGCAAACGAUGUUUGUCAAUCAGACAAGUAGCACAUGUCCUGCACGGGGCCAGAGUAAAUGCCAGAGAGGAUGCCUGUGUCCUUUCCACCAGGAGUCGUGGUGUUCCGGCACUGUUUACCACAAUGGCAGGACUGUGAGGGGCAGUUCUCUGCCUCCCUCAGGCUUUUCCUUGUUGGGGCAGGCAGCCCUGAUUAAAUAUAGUCCUGGAGGUCAUGGGCAGCUUCUGUGGUUGGGAGGGCUUACCUGGCUGCUGCUCACGUUCACUAGACACACCUCCUAGGCACUUGGCAUUGGGAGGAAAGCCCUGCCUAUAACACACUCACCUGCAGGCCCUCUCCCCACGUAGCCAUCCCCUCUUACCUUCUUACCCUGAGUGUUGUGUCAGGCAGGCUAAAAACAUGCCCCAAUCACACAGUAAAAUCCUUCCUCAAAAUCUGCUCAGUGCCAGGGUUAAGUAGGGAUCACCAGCGGAGUCCAGAACCUCUUGCCCAAUUUGAGAUUUAGAAAUCUCAGGCGCUGAGGAAAUUUCUCGGAGUCAUUCAUAGGAGUGCUCUGUUAAGAAAGAGGAUAUGAUAUUUCAGAAAGUUAAUACUGUGUUGCAUUAAAAGGAGGUUGGGGUGGGGGGAUCCAAUUGAUUCCAGGACGUCCAGUAUGUUAUUGCCGAAAUAUCUUUUUCAGAUAUCAUCCUUUAAUGCAGAAGAGCUGCAUUUUAUAGGAAGUGGUACAUCUGUUUACAGAGAGAGUGUGUUAAGAUAUUCUUUCAGUAACACUAUCUUAAGGUUUGAGGUGAUUUUUUAAAAAUUUUAUACUUUAGGCUUUCUGGAUAUUUUACACUUUUUUGAAGAAGUGCUAUUAAAUUACAUAGAAGUAAUAUCUGUUUUUUUUUUUUGUUUUUCCGCCCAAAGGAGUAUAAUUAGAACAUCCGAAAUCAGAUUACCCAAUUAGUACAUUUUUCUAAUUAGCUGUUUAGGAAUUUGCGAUGAGAUAACUUAUUUUAAAUUUCCAAAUGAAACUUGGGCCACAGGGAGGCUUUGAGGAAGGUACGCAAGGGAAAAAAAUCAUGGGUUUUCAGUUUUAGCUGCUACCACUCACCUGCUCCCCCAAAACACCUAAGUGCCUGCUCAUCAGGCAGCAACAGUGACCAGAAAACAGUUUUAUUGUCCUUGUCCCAAGUAAACGGAGUUCGAAAAAUUAUUCAUUGAUGUUGGCUUUUCUCUGCCCCUGACAAUAGAGUGGGCAGUCACUUUGCUACAUUCUUCAGGAAUAAUGUUAGUAGCUGUUUGGAGAAAAGAUUCGGGUGAUAUGAGUUCAGUUUGCGUUUUCUGUGUGCCUUGUGUGUGUGCUUUCUUUGAGCUAGGUGGCCACUGGGGCAGUCUGCAGGGGUGGGGAUGUCCAACCAAGACUUGGGAAUGAAGUCAGGACCCAGCUUUUGCACUUUGUGAUUGUCGUUGGUGCAGGCCCAUAAUCCUUUAUCUGAAAUUGUGAACUCCAAAAAACUCUGACGAUCAAAAGUUUUUGUAAUUAAUUUUGUGGGAAAACUCGACCCAAACCGACUUAAGACGUACAUAGUCUGUAUUUAUCUUGAGGAGUAUGAAUAUUCAUGGGUUUCAUUGCAGAGACAUUGAUAUGUUUGAUUAAGGGUGGUGCCCUGCUGGGGUCUUGCGUAAUAUGUGGUAUAAAUACUAUGUUACUUUUUUAAAGGCUGAAAAAUUCUGAAACAUGUAUGUCCUGAAGGUUUGGGGUAAGACAUUGUAGCCCUGUCAUAGGAACAUCAGCGUAAUGAAUAUGACAGCAACUCUGUGCCCCAAGGCAGAGUCGCAGCCUUUCCAGGACUUGCUUCUUCUUCGGUGACAGGAAGAGCCUGUAGGCUGAGUGAGGGGCCAGCUGGCCAGAUGACCAAACGGCAGGCCCCGAUGGCCCUCAAUGCCUGGUGAGUCCUUCCCUUACCAGGCCUUGAACUCCAUGAAGGCUCAGUGGAGCCUUGCUCGCUGUUUUAUCCUCGGUGCCCACUGCAUACUAGGUGCUGAGUGAAUAUUGAACUGGUCAGAAGCAGGGGUCAGCCAGCAAACAUCCGUGAAGGACCAGUAAAUAUUUUAGGCUUUGAGAGUCUCUGUUGCAACUCUUCUGCUCUGCGGUUGUGGCAUGAAAGCCAUAGAUAAUACGUGAAUACUAUACUUGUGUUUUCAAAAAACUUUAUAAAAACAAGUGCUAGACUGGGUUUGGCCCGUGGGCCCACAGUUUGCUGUCUCCUUGUGAGAAGGACAAGUGCAUCUGUAAACACUUUUUCCUUCACCAUAUGUUAGCCCUGCUAUCUGGUUGUCUUGUUUUCCUGUCCCAGUAGAGUCACCUUUAAAUAAAAGUUGCAGCUAUAACGCCAGUGCUCACCCCUGGCUUCAGCUCCUGUACAGUCUGGAAAUGUGGGCCAGCGUAAGGCGCUGCCUCUGACCUCGUUGGUGAGCAUGUGUAUUUGUGUGGACAGAUGCAUUCGGGCUCCAGUCCAGUUGGGCCAAGGGGCACUCAGACCUCCACCCACUGAUGAGUUUUGGGGGCCAAGCCAACCUCAAGGAACACUGGCCAUCAGUGUCAGGCCAAGCAGGGCUGGAGAGCUUUCAGGACGUGGUGGGGUGGGGGUGCUGAAGGAGUGGGAGUGAGUGUUUAAGAGCCAAGGUGUUCUUAACAAAAGAAUUUCUGGCAGAGAGAUUGGUUAUCGUAAACUUGGGCUCUGAUGGAUGAGAUUCAGGUCUCCUGGCUUUGUUCAUCCCAGGCCUGGAACGGCCUGCAAGGCUGAGUAGGCUUUCCACUGCAGCGGAGGCUUCAAGCCAGCCGAGCCCUCUAGCUCCCACCUCCAAAGCGGCCUGGCCUGGGGCAGACUGGGUAGGUGGCUGGAUGGAGGGGCAGGAUCCUGGAGAGCCAGCUCCCCUAAACUGGGAGCGCCAGCAUCCCUCUGCCCAGCCUGACCCAGCUCUCUGCCAGGGAAGUUUGGCCCCUAACUCGGAGCAGGCCUGGCCUCUUCAGGCCCUGGGAACAGACUCUCUCAGCCAGCCCCUGCCACAGGCCUUCUGUGUGCCCUGUGGCUUCUCUAUAGGAGGGGCUCCCCCAAGACAUUCUGGGACUUCUGCCCUCUGCCCAACCACCUCCUUUUAGUCAGGGUGUGACUGGUGCAUAUUUUUCUUUCUAGAGCAAAUUCCAAACAAGGGUGAUAUCUCUGCUUGGCCUUUCUUUUCCUUCCAUCAUGGUUUUUUGGGUUGUUGGCUGUGUUCAGAGUGGAGCCGCCUCAUUCUGCAGCUCCUCAGGAAGCCCUGACAGCUUUUCAGCCCUCGGCAGAAGUGGGCAGCCUCUCAGUCAUCACUGUGUAUUCAGCAGAGGCCAGGUAUAGAGCCAGGACUCGGGAAAGGCCUGAGGAACCAGACUGGGGGGCUGGUGUGUUUGGUGAUGGGUUAGCUCUGCUGUCAGAGCCAAGCCCAGGUGGGUCGCCUUUACCUACUGAGCGUGGCAUGGAGAGAUCCUCUGGCCAUGGCCCUGGGACAGCCCCAUCCCCCCAGUCUCACCUCCUUGUUAUUGAGCACCUAGGCCAGGCACUGCCUGUACCAUGGUGAUAAGACAGCCCAGAGCAGUGGUUCUCAAACUUGGGUGCCUCUGAAAACCACUUGAGGAGCCCAUUAGCAACGCAGACUCCUGGGCCGCCCAGUCAACCUCAGGGGCCCUGGAGCCAGCAUUGUUAAUAAGCAUAUAUGAGGCAGGUGGUCCCAGGACCAUGUUGCCUGUGAGCUGGUUGGUAGGUAAAGCAGUGUGAUGUGUAUGGGGUUGGGGAGCAGGGAGAAAGAAGGGUCUCUAAGCCAGGGAGGGGUUGGAGUCAGGAAAAGCAUGCAGCAGAGGUGAGCUAAAGCUUGAAUAACAGAGCAGGGGAUGGUCUUCAUAGCCCAAUCGAAUGCUUUGUGCCAGACGCAGUUCUCAGCCUUUGAUGGGAAUGAACUCAUUUAAUCCUCCCAACAACCCCUUCGAUUUCAAAAAGGAGCAGACUGAAGCACAGAGGGGUGAAUUAACUUGCCCAAGGUUCUAUGGCUAGUUCAUGGUGAGCUGGGUCUUACCCUCUUACUCCAUUCCCCUGGAUUGCGACCCAGGCACCAGCUCACGCAGAGGCCAUGCAGACUGAGGGCUGAGGCUGUGUAGUAGGUGAAGCAUGAUGCAGUCAUGUUGUUGAAUGGUUCAGAUGGCUCGGAUCCUAGCGUGUGCGGACAGCUUGGGUUUUGCCGGUAGGGGACAUGGCUGUGAUCUUGCUUAGGGGAGAAAGCUCUGGGUAAAGUGACAGUUGCCGUAAGAAUUUUAAGAGGGCUGAGGCUGUAGCUGGGGUUCCCAGCAUGCUUCCUCUCAAUCUGAACAAGGCAGGAUCUAGAAUGUGGGGCCAAGGUGCAGUGUUAGUGCCGGGGAGCAGCGAGGCCUGUGCCCUGUUGCUCUUCUGAGAGAGGAAGAAUUCUCUGUGGCCUGAGUUCUUGGACACCCCCAAGGAGCCUGUCCCAGCCCCUCUGCCCUUGGGGUCUGAAGGUAAGGGGGAAAGGAGAGGGGAAUACACUUGUGGUAAGAAGCCAGCUAAGUGCUCUGUAUACUUUCUUCCCUUCAAUCCUCACAUCACCCCACAAAGUAGGCUUAUCUAUUCCUGUUUACAGGCGUGAAGGCUGAGGGAAGUGCAGAGAAGUAAGGAGACUUCUACACAGACAUCAAGUAAGCAGAUAGUGGCACCGGGUCUGUCUUCCAUGGAUUGUGCUUUUCACCACAGUGGGGACAUGCAUGUCCCAUGUUCUGAGCGGCCUCAGGUCCUGCACACACAGAAGGACCACUGAAUAGAUACAGUGCCAGGCUGAGCAGGGACCCCGAUGUAGAGAGUUGAGCCCUGCCGGCCUGGGGGGCAGAAGGGAUCAGGCCAUAGAGGAGAACCCUAAACCAGGCUGCUUCCAGAAGCCCUUUCCAGCCUCUCAUAAGAAAAACAAUUGGUCACUAGCCCCUUCUCACCAUUCCCCUCACCUACCCCCACUUUCUUCCAGCCUGCCCUUCCCAGCCGAGCCUGUGAGCUCACUGAUUUGAACUUGAAAACCGUGGGGACAUACAGAAGUCUUUGCUCAUCACAGGCUGUUUUCGUGAAGGACGGGGAGGACCUGCCUUCCUGCUGCUGCCCACGGGAAGCUGCUGCCUUGUCCAGAGCUUCCCUCUGAUGAGGGUAGGGCGGGAUGUGGUCGAGCACAGGGAGGGCCGGACUGAGAUCUGGGCUCAGGCUGUAGCUCCCCAUGGUGCGCUGGUUCCCACAGUUGGCAGGCUCUUGCCUCCCACCGUGACAGAAGACCCGUGACUGUAAGCUUUUCAGGAAUAGUUUCUUUGGCUAUGACAACUGAAAUUCUCUUCUUUUGCUUUUCCUUUGAAGUGGGAGAGAUGGUGGUGGGAGCUUAGCUCCUUCUGGGCCCAUUUUACAGACAGGAUGACCAAGGCCACGACCGCUGGAGGGAAGCUUAACCACAGCUCAGGUCCGGGCCCUCUUGGAACCUUGUGUCUUUAAGCUGUUCUUUAAGAGGGUUUAGGGAGAGCAGCAGCUCCUCCUCAGAUGUUCUGGCUCAAGUUGGUCUUCUGGGUACCUCCCAGGGUUUUGUCCUCUGCCUGAACCAGGCCUGGCAUCUGAGGAAGGUAAAGCCAACUGUCUUCUGUUCGUGCAUCAGCGUCAGGGCUGUGACUGUCACUUAGGAGCUCAGUCUCUGCAAGGUGGGUCCACACGCCACACGGGAAGACAGAGGCCCCUCUCCUGGUCUUACUUCCUUCCUUGGUUCUUGGGCUGCACUUUUCCACUCAGGAUUCCGCCAGGACUCUAGUCCACGCCUCUCGGCGGGCAGGAGCUACUGGGUUCCAGUUGUCUCCUGGGCACGCCCUGGGGGUAGUGAGGCCAGCCACAGGCCAGACCAAGCAUUGGAGAGAACUGUGUCACUGUGGAGACCCCAUAACUACCCACCCUCCACAGAGCUUCCCCUGGGCUAUGCGAGGUGGGCCAGUGGGACUGAGGGGGUUACCGUCUUCACUCACCUGGGCCAGCCGGCCGACUGCUGCAGCGUGACUCAUCUGGAUCGUGUUCAAGUACAGCAAGAAAAAUGAGGGACUUUCAGGGGCAGCUGUGUUUUCUGACUCAGUCAUAAUGCCCCUAAAAAUCCUUAUUGUUCUUGCAAUGAGCAUCGAGCAGCGGCUGCCAACCUCACCCCUCGCCCGCCUGGCCAUGAUGGGAAUGGGGAGGGCUUCUAGGGUCCAGUGGGGAUGUCUUCUCCCAUCCUCCUGAAAUGAGAAUGAAUGGAGACUUGCUGGUCAUUAAAACAUUUUCGCUGGGCUGAUGCAUUAUUGGGGCAGGAUAUGCAUUGAGAUAUUCCUGCAUGGAUUGGAGCCCAAGAGAACACAGGGUCUCCCUGGUUUGUGUGCAGUCAAGGGCAACAGUGUUGGGCUGGCCAGGGUGCCCCACCUUUCCUGAACCAUUCAGGGGCACCUGGGCAGGAACUUGCACUGUGUUUUAAAACAGUCUACUCUCUGAGACCAGUGAGCUGGCCAGUUUGCAAAUACGCUUGCAGUGGGUUCAAGGUCUUUUCCCCCACUGUGCCCCUAGAGCUUUCUUUCUCUUGGCUGGGUGUUUUCUAUCCCUGUCUCACUUCCUGAGUCUCCUUCAUUCUCAGCAGGUGCCCCCACCUCUUCCAUCCCCACCCCACGGCUAUUUUGCCUAAGCCAAGGCCUUACCUUGGGGGAUUAUCAAGAAGCAGAAAUGCCAAUUUGUGAAAUCCCCCCCACCCCCACCGCCUUAACCCAAGAACACCAAUCCACAAGAAUGUCACCAAAUCCCACAGCAACAGAACCUUCCUCUCUAGCUGAGGGUGGGCAGGUGGCCUGCUUGUGGAUGGACAGACAGGGCAGGGAAGAGGCAGGAAAGAGGCAAGACCCACCUCAUGUCUCGAUCUUACAGGUUAGUAGGAGAAAUCCACCCUUGAGGUAUUUCUCAGGUUCCCUCGCAGGUGCUGACUCGAAAGCUCUCAUCACUCAAGAACAUAGCCAUAGGUGGUGCCCUGAAUGCCACAAUCCUCAUUCCUGGCCAGCUGGUCCCCUGCUCCUCGAGCUCUGGCUGUUCCAGCAGUGCCUCCACACCAGCUCUCCCAGAGACCGUGUCUAAGGAGCUGGGUUUGCUGUGGAGCUUCGGCAUUUUUCUGCCCCGGGGAGGGGCAGCUCCAAGGUAAAGAUCAAUAUGGCAGGUGGGGGAGUAGUGUUUAUCCCUCUUUGCUGAGAGGUGGGCGGGGCUCUUGUGAAAAUGACAUUUUUACAACUUGCAGUGGACACGGGGUGAUACAACACGUUCUAUUUUCCUUGGCUAAGCAUUUGCUAACUUCAAAUCAGCUAGCCCUGUGACUUCUUUGCCCUGCCCUCCCAUCCCCACAAAACUCCUUGUUCCUUGGGAUAAAGGCUGAGCAUGUUCCUCAGUCUUUAUCCCAAAACAUUUGCAAAAGACAGUACAUCAAUUUUUUUAAAGAAGGCAAUACAGCAAAAAUGCUGGUUUUUUUCCUCCAAAUUACGAAAGAGCUGCCUUCCACGGUAGAGCGUUUUGAAAAUACAAAAGGAUGAAAAAGGCAUAAAUGCUGGAGAUAAUGUCUGCUAAUGAAAUAUACUCUUCCAGCAUUUUUUUUUCCCCUGUGCACGUACACCCCCACCCAGUUAGCAGGAUUGGGGCUUUUAAAACGGGCGAGGCUCAUUACCCAUUUGAGCGAUGGCUCCGUGCCCUCGGGAGCCAGAAAGUAUUUUCUUUUUGCCAAGUGGUAUGUACCGUGGGCUGCAGCUCGCCUCCAGCCAGGAAGCUCAGAAUCUUUGUUGGAGGGUGUCGGAGCAGCACUGGGUCUCUCUCCAAACAGAGAGAUGAAGUUGUUGGGGAGGAUGCUGGCAAUGUCCUGAUUUCUAAGUGGGCUGCUGUAUUGCUUCUCAACCCUGGUACAUAAGAAUCACUUGGAGAAUAUUAAAAUAAUUUGAAUGCCUGGGCCCUGCCCCAGACCAACUGGAUCUGAAUUGCUGGGGGUUAUGGGGAAACCCCAGGAUUGGUAUCUCCUUUUGUUUUUUCUUAUGUUCCUCAGGUGAUUCUGUUAAGCAGCCAGAGAACUAUCCACUACAUGCUCACAAUUUAGAGAUGGAAAAGAUUUCUUCCAGGUCUGCCUUCAGAGCCUAUCGGGCGAUGUGACCAUUUGCAAUUGGCAGAUUUUCACUUCUUUUAUUUUCUCUCCUGCUUAGAGUCAUCUUUUGAUCAUCAUUUUACAGAGGACUGAAGCCAAGGAGAUCAGGAGACUCGCCAGAGGACACACAGCCAGGAUGUGGCAGAACUAGGGUUUAGAUCUGUAGCUUCUGACUCCCAAGGCAGAGCUUGUGACACUGCAGAAAAGCAGCCUUGGACCUUGAAUGAGCUUGGGACCUGUCCCUGGUGACCUGGCCACUGUGGAGGUGGUCUGGAGGGGACCAUCCCUCUUCAACCUGGUACCCUUGGGGUUCAGCUGGGGCCAACCCCAACCACUGGCUUUAGAGGCAAGCAUGUAUCCCAGGCUGGACACUGAGACUUCCCCUUGGGACUUUUGCAGCUUUUUUGUGAGGAAAAGGGCAUUCACUUUUUGUGGGAGUUGGCAGGUUGGCAGAUUAAAAGCUUGGAACUGCUGGUGGCCAUCCUGUUCUCCACUUGAGGAUGAAGCCAACAAGGAGGACAGAGACCUAAGAGAAGGCGAGCAUAUGCUGUCCAGACAUCAGUAAGGCCCUGGAUCCAGCCAUGCCUGAAGCCAACAGUACCCCUGGACCAACAUGAUUAUAUAAGUCAGUGUGUUUCUUUUUUCCUCAGAGACCAUCCUGAGCUAGGUUUCUGCCAUAGACAGGGUCUUAAUAAAUGCAAUGUUUUUCUUUGAUCUCAUUUUUCUAAAAAUCAACUUCGAGUUAUACUUUACAUGCAGUAAAACCCAUCCAUUGUAAAUGUCCAACUCAUAAGUUUUAUCAAACGCAUGUACCCUUGUAACUACCACCACCACUGAGAAUAUUUCAAGUUCUCUCAUUCCGCUUCAUGGCCCAUUUCCCUGACCCCAGACAACCACUGACCUGCCUUUGUUCUAGAGAUUCAUUUUGCCUUUUCCAGAACUCCAUAUAGAUAUUAUCACAUGGUAUGUACUCUUUUAUGUCUAGCUUUUUUUUCAGCAUGAUUUUGAGAUUCUGAGAUUCAUCCAUGUUUCUUUUUAUUGCCAAGUAGUGUUCCAUUGUAUGGAUGUACCAUAGUUUGUUUAUCCAUUUACCAGGAGGACAUUUGGGCUGUUUCCAGAUUUUGGCUGUUACAAGUAAAGCUGUUUUGAACAUUCCUGUA